GUCCCGCGUCGUCGCGCGCGCGUCGUCGCCUCUCGCUCGCCGCCCACACGCGCGCUCGAUGCGUUUCGUCGCCCAGCGGUCCCGUCGCGCUCCACUCGCGCUCGGCGCGCGCGUACGUCGCCCACGCGUCGUCGGCGCCCGACUCGAGCGCGCGUUCGUCGCGCAACCGCGCCUCGAACGCGUCGUCGUCGAGAAUCAUCGC
rnacentral:lncRNA from 1 species